GUAAUCAUGGGAGUGAAAAGUAUCUUGUUUUUAAUUACAGUUGCGCACACAUGCACUGCAGGCGAUGAUUUUGGCUGUGUUCCACCUCCUCCAUCUUACUACAGAAACACCAUUAAUUUCAGCUCUUCAUCACCACAAAAGAGUCCUGACUGCAUUCCAUCUGGUGUAGGUGCGUUUGUAGGCUUUGUAGCAUCGAAGAAGAGCAGUACUCC